ACACGUACAUGAUGAGUCCAUAGUUCAACUGACAUAAAACGUUGAUGUACUUAUUUAGCAAUAUCUUUCGCUCCUAUCUGAUCACUAUU